GUGAAGAUGUUUCAUACUCCCUUGCAGGUAACCAUAGCUGUGUGCCAAACGCAGAGGCCUCUUUUCCAGACAACAACUUUAUCCUCCAUCUCACUGCUUUGGAAGAUAUCCAGCCUGGAGAGGAAAUCUGCAUUAGUUACCUAGACUGUUGCCAGAGGGACCGCAGCCGGCACAGCCGCCAAAAGAUUCUCAGGGAGAACUACCUGUUCGUGUGUUCCUGCCCCAAGUGCCUAGCGCAAGCUGAUGACCCCGACAUCACGUCCGAGGAAGAAGAAGAGGAGGAGGAGGAUGACGCUGAGCUGGAAGGGGAAGCAGAGGAUGCAGAGCUGGAGGAUGAGAUGACGGACGUGUGAAAUGAGAACUUUGUCUCCGCCCCUUUCCAUCAUGUCCAAUCACAGACCAAACUGUUCAACUCUCUUCCACUGCCAUUUCUAGUCACUCACUUGAGCUGUUCCCAGUCGGAGCAUUGUGAUUGGUUGAGCCAGUUACCGGCGGAACACUCAUUAUCCGUCAUUUGUUGUGUUGCACUUGGAAUGUUUCAUUUGCCCCAGCUUGUGGGGGGUGGACCUCCUACUUCUUUAUGAGCCCCCAUACUGUAUGCCACGUGACCCCACUAUGCUGGUCUGCAUGUCACUGCCCAACCAUAUUCCUUAUGUGCCGCAUACCCACUGUAGCCGGGGGGCGCCGGUGGGGGUGCAGCAAUAGGCAGCGCUUAGGAUUUCUGUUUGCCCAGAAUGAUUUUUGCUUGAUUUGUAGAUCCCCCCAGCUUCCAGGUGUGUAAUAGGCAACUAGAUUCCUUACUUAUAUCAUAGCCGCCUCUCUCAGCCCGGUGCCACCAACCUCAGUACCACACAGGCAUGUUUCAUCUCUGCACUGCCUGCUCCUCUCAGGAACAACACCCCAAGUCCGGCCAAACACAACAACUACACCCAAAAACAAAACAAACAAACAAAAAAGCAAAUUAAACAACAUUUUGGAGGAACAAUUUA